UGUCACGGGGUGACGAAAGGGAAGCGGAACUAAGUCCCGCCGGAAUUUUGUGUUCCCCUCGGGACGGUGUCGCGGUAACACCGGUCCACUUCCGGGUUGCGCCCGAUGUCGCAAUAACAACGCUAAUGACAGAUUGACAUCUGGUGUGGGGAGUUUGAUGUGGCGAUCUGUGAGAGGAUUAUGGAGGCGGAGUAACCACAUAAAAAGAGAAGUGCAGAGACCAUGAAAAAGGGUUGUUGAUUCUUUUUGGUCGUUCGUUCUUCCGGCUAUUCUUCCGGUUGGCUUGCCCAGUGUGUGGUUCUUCUCUUUGGAUGUGUUCCCCUAGGAGAGGUGAAUUCCUGGGACGUUUGGGCUGGCGUGUGGAGGUAUUUGAGGACUAUUGUGGGGUUUCGGCUAUCUGGCUGUGCAACAGAUAUAUCAGCGAUCGAGUGGAGAUAUUCAGGACAGAAAGAGUGUGAGUUCUGGAAAGCAAGUGAAGACCAGACCGCGCCAUCGCUAUCGGAGGGAAGUUAAGAGACCUGAUCUGGGACUUCGAUCAAUUGUAUACAUCUGGACUGGGAGUGAUAACGUUGUGAAGUGGACGGAGUCAUCGUUGGGUGAGUGCUGGCUCUAUUUGCACUAAGAGUGGGUGUGCCGUGUCUGAAGUGGUGUGUUUGCACAAUAAAUCGUUUGAAGUGAAGUUACAGAGUGUGGGGAAGAUAUAUAGAGUUAAUGCCGGACGCUCACCACCCCGAGAGCCCACCACCGUCACCGUAAUCCACACCCAGGCACUCAACUGAAGUAUCCCCCAGCCGUAAGCCCCAUUGCUUAUUCAAGAACACAUACAUGCUGUUGAUUACUUACCCCGCUGUGUAGAUCGCAGGAUCCUCUGGGCCGAACGCCGCAUGUGAUGUCCCUAUGAAAGGAGGUGGACACAAGAAUUAUUCCUUUCCCGGUCUUAACCGAAGCAUCUCCCAGCCGUAAGCCCCCACUACUUAUUCAAGAACACAUACUUAAUGUUGAUUACUUACUCUGCUGUGCAGAUCGCAGGAUCCUUUGGGCCGAACGCCGCAUGUGAUGUCCCUAUGAAAAGAGGUGGACACGAGAAUUAUUCCUUUUCCCGGUCUCGACCGAAACAUCCACGAGCUCUAUUACCCGGAUACCCCCCUCACUCCGGACGGGUGACAGACUAUCCUGGCUCUUGCUGGCCCCGUACAGGCACGAAUUGCUGACGACUCCACGCCUUCCCGGCGUCCGAGUUCUGGUCGGGAGACACGGAAGGAACACUGAACUUUUAAAUUGCUUUUAACCAAAAUAAAACCUUGUUCAUUUUUUUAUACUCUCGUCCGUCUGGUUCUUCUGGUACGCUCCCCGAGGUGAUCCUGGGUUUCAGGGGUGGGUGCAGUCCAGCUUGGCCCCCCCCGACCUGUGACAGAUUCAUUACUUUUUCCUUCAAGAAAUUAAAGAAACAAUAAAAGUAAAUAUCAAAAGUUCCCAAAAAUCUAUUGUGUUAUUUGCAUUGAUCCACUAUAUAAACAUAAUAUCUACAUACAUGCCAUUUGAUUGGAGGCUAGUCUCACUUUGUCCCACAGCAACUUUUUUUUUUUUAGAUGUGUGUACAAUGUUUCAUGUUUCUGUUAAUAAUGUAUUGUAUUAAGUGUCCAUUUCAUUAUAAUAUUCAGAUUUAUCAUAAAUAAUUGAACAUGCACAUGUAUUUUAAGUUCCUUUAAAGUGGAGUAGAGGUGGGGUCACAUUUGAGCAUUUAAAAUUUAAUUUUACUUGAAAGUAACGCAAUAGUUACUUUCUUAAGUAACUACUUACUUUUGAAAUUA
rnacentral:lncRNA from 1 species